AUGCAACAACAACAAUAACAACGACGACGACGACAAAUAUGAAAACAUCACCGUCACCGCCUCCCCGUAACGACGGAGCUGAGGUUCGAAACUCUAAUGAGGAAUUAACUCGAACGCAGGACAGCCACUUUCCUACGGGAUAUAAAUAUAGAACUAGUUUUCCA